GUCUACGGUCAUGCCACCCUGAACAUGCCCAAUCCCAUCUGACCUCAGAAGCUAAGCAGGGUUAGUACUUGGAUGGGAGACCACCUAGGAAGACCAGGUGCUGUAGGCU
rnacentral:rRNA from 1 species